rnacentral:piRNA from 1 species
UCCACCGUGUCCUUUAUGUGA